rnacentral:rRNA from 1 species
ACGUAGGAGGCGAGCGUUAUCCGGAUUUACUGGGUGUAAAGGGCGUGUAGGCGGGUUUGCAAGUCGGUUGUGAAAUUCCCCGGCUUAACUCGGGCGGGGCAUUUGAAACUGCAAAUCUUGAGUACUGGUGAGGUUAGUGGAAUUCCUCGUGUAGCGGUAAAAUGCUUAGAUAUUAGGAGGAACACCAAUGGCGAAGGCGGCUAUCUGGGCAAUAACUGACGCUGAGGCGCGAAAGCGUGGGGAGCAAACAG